rnacentral:rRNA from 1 species
UACAACGAAGAGUUUGAUCCUGGCUCAGGAUGAACGCUAGCGGCAGGCUUUAUACAUGCAAGUCGAGGGGUAACAGAAAGUGCUUGCACUUUGCUGACGACCGGCGAACGGGUGCGUAACGCGUAUAGAAUCUGCCUUGUACAGGAGG